UACGAAGGGUGCAAGCGUUAAUCGGAAUUACUGGGCGUAAAGGGUGCGUAGGCGGUUGUUUAAGUCUGUCGUGAAAUCCCCGGGCUCAACCUGGGAAUGGCGAUGGAAACUGGGCAGCUAGAGUGUGUCAGAGGAUGGUGGAAUUCCCGGUGUAGCGGUGAAAUGCGUAGAGAUCGGGAGGAACACCAGUGGCGAAGGCGGCCUUCUGGACCAGUACUGACGCUCAUGCACGAAAGCGUGGGGAGCAAACAGG
rnacentral:rRNA from 1 species